rnacentral:lncRNA from 1 species
UAUACCAGCAAAUUUCUGGUGUUGUUUUAGGUCAUUACGGGAUCCACGUUUGGUUAGCCAAGCAGACUAUUGAUUCCAUUCCUAGGAAGCCACACAGCUGCACAUCCCAUCCUGUGACUUCACCAUCUCGGCG